CUCCGCGGGUGUGCAGAUCGCCGCCGGCCGAGGCUUGCCGCCGCCGCCCCGACUGGGGGAAUGAGCAGGCGCCAGGUCUUGAAUUCCUGUCAGGGCCGGUCUGGGGGCUCCCUGCUGAAGCCCCUGUCCCUGAUCCCGCAACCUCCCGGUCUCUUUCGCCCAGGCUGGAGUGUGAUCACGGCUACUGCAGCCUCGAUCUCCAGGGCUCAAGUGAUUCUCUCACGUCGGCCUCGCAGUAACUGGGACCACAGACAUGAGCCACCAUGCCUGGCUUUUUUUUGUUUUGUUUUGUUUUGUUUUUUGUAGAGACAGGGCGGGGUGUGAGACUCUCAUCUUGUUGCCCAAGCUGGUCUCCUGAGCUCAAGGAUCUGCCCUCCUCGGCCUCCCAAAGCGCUGGGAUUACAGCUUGAUACCCUACCUUGUUUUAACCUGAUUGACUCGCUCUUAGCUGAGAGAGCGGGACAGACUCCAUUUUGGUUUCUUCGCUUGCAGCACCUUGUCCCCCUCCCUUAAGGACAUAACUGGUGCAGACUGACACCAAGCACAUCCAGGAAUGUGCUUACUGAUAAGAUACUGAGGCAAGCUGUACCAGCAGCUCCUGGGAACGCGCUCGGUUGAUGGUACCCAAAGCCCCUGCGUUUAUCUCUUUGUGAUAAUUUAAGCCCCAUGCACCUGGAACUGUUUAUUUUCCUGUAACUGUUUCUAUAACCAUUUAUCUUUUAACUCUUUGCCUGUUCUGCUUCUGUAAAAAUUGCUUCAGCUAGACUACCCCUUCCCUAUUUAGACCAAGGUAUAAAAAGAAAUCUAGCCCCUUCUUCAGGGCCGAGAGAAUUUUGAGCUGUAGUCGUCUCUCGGUCGCCGGCA
rnacentral:lncRNA from 1 species